rnacentral:rRNA from 1 species
UAACAAGGUCUCCGUAGGUGAACCUGCGGAGGGAUCAUUACUGAGUGAGGGCUCACGCCCGACCUCCAACCCUUUGUGAACGCAUCUCGUUGCUUCGGGGGCGACCCUACCGGGCGCCCCCGGAGGUCAAUCAACACUGCAUCUCUGCGUCGGAGUCAAAAGUUAAUUAAACAAAACUUUCAACAACGGAUCUCUUGGUUCUGGCAUCGAUGAAGAACGCAGCGAAAUGCGAUAAGUAAUGUGAAUUGCAGAAUUCAGUGAAUCAUCGAAUCUUUGAACGCACAUUGCGCCCUUUGGUAUUCCGAAGGGCAUGCCUGUUCGAGCGUCAUUUCACCACUCAAGCCUGGCUUGGUAUUGGGCGUCGCGGUGUGUCCGCGCGCCUUAAAGUCUCCGGCUGAGCUGUCCGUCUCUAAGCGUUGUGAUACAUAUUCGCUUUGGAGCGCGGGCGGCCGCGGCCGUUAAACUUUUCAUUCAAAGGUUGACCUCGGAUCAGGUAGGGAUACCCGCUGAACUUAAGCAUAUC